rnacentral:lncRNA from 10 species
CAAGUUACAAUAAGCAUACACUAAGACAGAGUCUUGCUCUGUAGCCCAGACUGGAGUGCAGCGCCCACCCCCACGCCCGGCUAAUUUUUUGUAUUUUUAGUAGAGGGCGUUUCACCACGUUGGGCAGGCUGAUCUCGAACUCCUGACCUCAGGUGAUCUGCCCGCCUAGGCCUCCCAAAGUGCUGGGAUUACAGGCGUGAGCCACCGCGCCCAGUCGGGAGCCAAGUUCCAUAGCAGCAUCUUUGCCCUCAGCCCUGGCCUGCAGAGGAGAGC